AUAUAUAGCCAUGUCACGCUGAGAGCACCGGUUCUCAUCCGAUCACCAAAGUUAAGCAACGUCGAGCCUAGUGAGUACUUAGAUGGGUGACCGCUUGGGAAACCUAGGUGCUGUAAGCA
rnacentral:rRNA from 1 species